rnacentral:rRNA from 1 species
UACGGGAGGGAGCUAGCGUUGUUCGGAAUUACUGGGCGUAAAGCGCACGUAGGCGGCUUUGUAAGUUAGAGGCGAAAGCCCGGGGCUCAACUCCGGAACUGCCUUUAAGACUGCAUCGCUUGAAUCCAGGAGAGGUGAGUGGAAUUCCGAGUGUAGAGGUGAAAUUCGUAGAUAUUCGGAAGAACACCAGUGGCGAAGGCGGCUCACUGGACUGGUAUUGACGCUGAGGUGCGAAAGCGUGGGGAGCAAACAGG